rnacentral:rRNA from 1 species
UAACACGUAUCCAACCUGCCGUCUACUCUUGGACANCCUUCUGAAAGGAAGAUUAAUACAAGAUGGCAUCAUGGGUUCACAUGUUCACAUGAUUAAAGGUAUUCCGGUAGACGAUGGGGAUGCGUUCCAUUAGAUAGUAGGCGGGGUAACGGCCCACCUAGUCUUCGAUGGAUAGGGGUUCUGAGAGGAAGGUCCCCCACAUUGGAACUGAGACACGGUCCAAACUCCUACGGGAGGCAGCAGUGAGGAAUAUUGGUCAAUGGGCGAGAGCCUGAACCAGCCAAGUAGCGUGAAGGACGACUGCCCUAUGGGUUGUAAACUUCUUUUAUAAAGGAAUAAAGUCGGGUAUGCAUACCCGUUUGCAUGUACUUUAUGAAUAAGGAUCGGCUAACUCCGUGCCAGCAGCCGCGGUAAUACGGAGGAUCCGAGCGUUAUCCGGAUUUAUUGGGUUUAAAGGGAGCGUAGAUGGAUGUUUAAGUCAGUUGUGAAAGUUUGCGGCUCAACCGUAAAAUUGCAGUUGAUACUGGAUAUCUUGAGUGCAGUUGAGGCAGGCGGAAUUCGUGGUGUAGCGGUGAAAUGCUUAGAUAUCACGAAGAACUCCGAUUGCGAAGGCAGCCUGCUAAGCUGCAACUGACAUUGAGGCUCGAAAGUGUGGGUAUCAAACAGGAUUAGAUACCCUGGUAGUCCACACGGUAAACGAUGAAUACUCGCUGU